GCGUCUUUAGUCCUUCGCGUAGGGGAUGGCCCACGCCUGGUAAAAAGAAUAAAAAUAGAAAAGAUCAGCUCAAUCAAUCACUGCUUGUAAUAAUUGUAGUGUAUACGCAUGACGUAGAAGUACACGUGUCAACGGUGUCAUGAUGUACAGGUAGUUUUGAAAUAAUUAAUUGAAGCCAAAAAAAUUUCAAUAAAAUCGGCAACACCCAAUGCAAUUACCGGUAUGGACUUGAUAAAGUUAGUUUGCAGUGAUGAUUGAAUGCCUGUUUGUCCUCAGCAGCCUUCUUCCAGUUCCUGUAGAUUAAUCGUUUUUGCCCGAGGAUAGAGCAUAACUCUCAACAUCUCCAUAAUUUCUAUUGCGAAGUGGAGUCUGUAUUUCGCUGGGGAUCUUAGUUGCGAUCUAUCAAGAUGACUGAAGAAGAAUCUCUGCUGGAAUUUGCCAUUUCGAUGCCCUUAUUCCUGACGUUCUCUUUAAUGUCCCUUUGUCUGAUUACAUCUCUGUUCUUCGUGGGAUGGUACCUGCUAUACAAGUUUGUCCUGAGCCGACACUUUCCUUUUCUGAAAGGCUUCGUGCAAGCCUUGCUAGGCACACAAGAUGAAGAAAGACCGACAUCCAAAACCCUAGAGAAGGAGAAUUCGCAUAAGAAGGAGCAGUAGUGCUCACAUUGCUCUUACACAGUAGAAAGCCAAGUGCAAGUGUGUGUCAGUUAUCAGGCACCAUCAGGUCCAGGCGCGGGCGAAAAAUGGAUAUUCUAGAUAACAGAGCUACAUCUUCUGUUACCACAUCAAACGAACUGUGAUGCGUGAGUGUAUCUGUGAUGUGUGCGAUGUGUGCCUUCUUAGCACCGAGGCAUUCAUCGUGUUCAUCUACACGAACAGGUUGUGUUGUGCUUAUCUAUGUAUUUCUUUCAUUCUCUUCUUUCUGUACAUACUGACUUAUACACGGAAAGUUGGGUGUGGUCCUCGAAAGAGUGCUCAAUGCACCGGGGUGCAGAGCUUCAUACAAAAAGAAUAGAAUGGGAUACGGAGCUUGGGUUGCAUGCUGACAGAAGGGUGAACAUCAACAAGCGAUCGGAGCUAGUGGCCAAGUGCAGACAUGAGAACAAAUUCUACCUAUCUAACUUCACACCUCCAGUUACAUAAACCAGGAUUACACCUGAUGUCUGGCGCUGAUCUUGCAAGUACAUGCAUAGAAUCACCGCUUGACCUUAUUUGCGCUUAAAUUCUCUGAUUCCACUAGCACCUUUAUACCACACUAUAUCAAGAACAUUCAUUGAGUUUUUGUAAUCACUGCUGUCUGAUGAUCGCCACAGGCGUGAAACUCUGAGUCACAGCCAACCCAAGCUCCGUAUCCCAUUCUAUUCUUUUUGUACUGACUUAUAUGAUUGUACAGUCAUGUAAUGCUGCAUAAAGCCAACAUUCACGAUAUUCACUGUCCGCAUUGCUUGAAGUAGGACCGCAGAUAUAGUGCAAGAGCUAUCAGUGCACUGUCGCUUGAGCAACAUGCAGCUGUAGCUGCAGUACUGCCAUCCUGCCUUGUACAUGUGGCAGCUAACUGUACAAAGCUGGCUUAUUCUAUGUCACAUUGAACAUCAGAUUCAACAGAUUGGUAUCUUACUCUCUUACUCUCUAACGGUUCGAAUUUUCCACUUGCUUAUUUCCAUUGGACCUUCACACCAAACCUUGA